GCCCACGUAGCUCAGUGGACUAGAGCACUGGGUUCCGGUCCCAGGUGUCGGAGGUUCGAAUCCUUUCGUGGGCG
rfam:Synechococcus sp. JA-2-3B'a(2-13), complete genome.